GAAAGUUGUUAUCCAUGAGCCUGUGAUUGGAAGUGAUCCAGAAGCAUUGUGCAAUCAAGCUAGGAAUGUAAUUGCAGAUGCAUUGAGUAAGCAUGCUGAUUGCUGAGGUUUUCUGGUGAAAGUGGUUUUCGAUUUCAUUACUCAUGUCAGUUACGUGAUGUGGAAUAUUUGUUAUCUUGACAAGGUAACAAUCUCUCUACGAUUUCCUUCUAUUACUUUAU
rnacentral:misc_RNA from 1 species